rnacentral:lncRNA from 1 species
UUGCUCUAAGUGGUUGUAGUGCUACAGCCAGGUAGGGCUCUUGUAUUUGGCAGCUAUCAAGUUUAGGACAGCAUUUAGCCAAGGGAGCGUAUUUGGAAAUACUGGGCUCCAGGCAAGUUGAAUUUACUGUGGUUGGUUAGAGCAGGGAUAAUAGCAGGCUAUAAGUCAACUAUAAGUAUAUUUUAAAUAGAUAAGAGGGGAGGGAGAAGAAAGUUGGACUAUUAAUUUGUAGCCAACUGUAGCACGAGCUCCAAGACACUGCAUGUAUGACAUGUGGGACAUAGUAGUAUAUGUUUUAUAGGUAACUAUUAUAUGAAUUGGCUAUUAGAUAAAUUGGAGCUAGUAGUUAGCUAUACUAUUGAACUUCAGGGCUAGGUGUUGAAUCGUCUCCUCUUCUUCUUGGUCACACAGGUGGCAACACUCCGUCGGUCCAACGUCUAACAAAGGCCUAGCCAAAAAGAAAGAGAAGUAUGUAAAAUAGAUUUAUUCUAACCAUAUAUAACACAGCCCAAAGAAGAGGGAGCUGAAAUAGACCUAUUUUAACAACCCAAAGAAGUGAGGGGUUAAAAUAUAAACUUAUUUUUUUGAAGAAGCACGAUGGACCAUCAUGCCUUCGGGCUGACCCGGCACAACUCGAG